GAAACCGGGCAAGCUCUUUUCUGGCUGUUGGUGGUAUAUGUAAUUCCAGUGAACGCUGUAAGAUUUCUGGAACAUAACAUUUUGAUCACUAGAUCUGGACCAGGAAUGAAAAUCAAGAACUUGAUGGCUUAUUAUAAUAAGAUUGCAGUCCUAUUCCAUUUAAACACUAAAAAAUCCCAUUGGCCAACAGGACAAAGGCAGAAAUGGAAAGAAGAAUGGAUGGAGAGAAGUAGUGAGGAGAGAAGAAAGGGAGAAAGAAAAUAAAAG